GAUGAACGCUGGCGGCGUGCCUAACACAUGCAAGUCGAACGAAGCACUUAUCUUCGAAUCUUUCGGGAUGAAGAGAUAUUUGACUGAGUGGCGGACGGGUGAGUAACGCGUGGGUAACCUGCCUCAUACAGGGGGAUAACAGUUAGAAAUGACUGCUAAUACCGCAUAAGCGCACGGAAUCGCAUGAUUCAGUGUGAAAAGCCGAGACGGUAUGAGAUGGACCCGCGUCUGAUUAGGUAGUUGGUGAGGUAACGGCCCACCAAGCCGACGAUCAGUAGCCGACCUGAGAGGGUGACCGGCCACAUUGGGACUGAGACACGGCCCAAACUCCUACGGGAGGCAGCAGUGGGGAAUAUUGCACAAUGGGGGAAACCCUGAUGCAGCGACGCCGCGUGAAGGAAGAAGUAUUUCGGUAUGUAAACUUCUAUCAGCAGGGAAGAAAAUGACG
rnacentral:rRNA from 1 species